UGGGGAAUAUUGGACAAUGGGCGCAAGCCUGAUCCAGCAAUGCCGCGUGAGUGAUGAAGGCCUUAGGGUUGUAAAGCUCUUUUACCCGGGAUGAUAAUGACAGUACCGGGAGAAUAAGCCCCGGCUAACUCCGUGCCAGCAGCCGCGGUAAUACGGAGGGGGCUAGCGUUGUUCGGAAUUACUGGGCGUAAAGCGCACGUAGGCGGUUUUUUAAGUCAGAGGUGAAAGCCCGGAGCUUAACUCCGGAAUUGCCUUUGAGACUGGGAGACUUGAAUCCAGGAGAGGUGAGUGGAAUUCCGAGUGUAGAGGUGAAAUUCGUAGAUAUUCGGAAGAACACCAGUGGCGAAGGCGGCUCACUGGACUGGUAUUGACGCUGAGGUGCGAAAGCGUGGGGAGCAAACA
rnacentral:rRNA from 1 species